rnacentral:misc_RNA from 1 species
UUUUGAUUGCAUUAUGUGAUUAUGUGACGAUAUACUUAAUAUUAUACUUGAUAUUAAUAUACGAUAUGUCUAAUGACCGCCUACACUUGUUGGAUGCUCUUUUUGAGCAUUGCAACGAUCGGUCGUCAAGAGUCGUUCGAUAUCUCCAACCGUAAACAUCCUCUCAUCGAUUGCAGAGAAUCAGGAUCCUAGGAAUCGUCUCAACAGUCGCAGACAAUACGCAUCCUGCCAUUCGGAGAGGUUUCCCACGUUAGCCGUUUGAUAGUCCAGCAAUCGAGACUCCACUACAAAGAGCAGAGUCAUCGCCAUCGCAGCACACAAAAAUAUGAUGUUUAAAAAAUCUUUUAAAAUGUUUUUUAAACAGCAGAUCUUAUAAAACAUACAUUGAGAUUGCCAAUGACGAAGAAAACACACACCAUUAAAAUAGAAUAACAAUCUAUCGUAGCUAGGGAAAAGGCGUUAUGAGAGGGAUAAAUUUUCAGUGAGAUAAAUCACACUGCUAAAAUUCUAAACAAUCUCACUCGCAACAGAAUAGAAAUCCGCGGCUGAUCUUUUCCGAUCAAAAGGAAGAUUUUCUUUUUAUCGUUGACUCAAUGAUCAUUCGUCGUAUCAUUAAAAAUGCCUAUAUUCAACUCAAAUGAGAAUAUUUAACAGAAUUAUUUUAUAAUAUGUUCGCUUAUAGUCUUGAAUGAGAGAAAACGACAAGUUUUAAAUGUCAGUGUAGAAAAUUAUUUUAUUACUUAAAUAUUUUGUAGAUUUCUACUAUACGUAACUUAUAUUUGCCACUCGUGUGUAUUCCUACUUUGCAUUCUGUUAGUUUGUAAGACACAAAUUUUAUAAAAAUUGUUACUU